AAGUGUAUAAUCCUACACAGACAAACUUUCUUAGCACAACAUCACACAUUGCUUGCACCUCCCAAUGACUCUCUUGAAGUAAAACAGUUAAUAUUUGCCUCAUUGGUUCUUUAUUCAUCAUUUCUCUCCCAUCAGGGAGUAUCCAUUUUCCCUCAGACUUUGUGGCUCCUGAUUCCUUAAAAAAAACCCUUUCUCUUAAAACUUUUUAGUUCUUUCUUAGUUUUCAACAAUUCCCUUAAUCCUCUCUGGAUUUAUUCUUUGUUUUCCCUCAGACAUUAGAUGCCUUACAUACUUGACUUUUUUUCUACAUAUUGUAAUUUAUUUUUCAAUACACCCAAGCCCUGUUUUCCCAGAAAGUUGAAUAGCUUGUUAGUAGCUUCCUUCACAACUGUUUUCUCCUGUCCUGACAAUAAAAGAUCAUCCACAUAUUUGUAACAGUAAUACCUCCUCAGGAGGUUUAAAUUGCUCCAAAAUCUGUUCUAGACCUUGC